CGGAAGUGACGUUUCGACCGGCACCAGAGAGGAUUAUGAGACUGCGUGUUUUUAGAGGGACCGUUCUCUUUCACAGCCAUUACAACCCCAGAGGGCCCGUUGACACACGUGUGCUGCAGUGGAAACAGAUGAACCUCCAGCAGCACCGAGCAACGGCAGCCAAGUGAGAUGAGGAGGAACAGAGAGAGCGUCUGAGACACGCAUGUUCAACCAGAGCCACGAGGACCAGACCGAGGCCCGACGGGUCCUCCACAGCCAAUGAGAGGCCCUCUGGAGCCAAUGAGAGUUCCUCUGGAGCCAAUGAGAGUUCCUCUGGAGCCAAUGAGAGUCUCCUCUGGAGCCCAGACUCCUGAAUCCCCCCUGAAUGAACUUCUUCGAGGCGGGAGUUGUGCACGUUUCCCCAAUUUCGCACAUUGGGAUUUCAUUUUGGCGGGCGUGAGGCCGAGGAUGACGAUAAGAGGGCGUGGUGGCAUGGGCAGAUUGUGAGGCAACAGGGGCCCGGAUACAGACAUUUUACAUCUCUUUGUAGUCUUCUUCUGUGUUUUUGUAGUUCUUUUCUGUCUCUUUAUUGUCAUUUUAUGUUUCUGUCAUUUUCCGUCUCUUUGUAGUCUUUUUCUGUCAGCGUUUCUUUGAGGGACAUUUUGGAGGUCUCUGAUCGUCAGGUCUCAGGGGUUUCCAAUAUUAGCUGAAUAAAGUAAAUGAUUGUUCUGUGUUUGAUUCACAACACGUCCUCUUACUAAAUGGAUCUUUAGAGGAGCCGUUCAGCGUGAGAGGAUUGAUCCGUUUCCCCUUAAAGUGACUUGUGUCCCCUUAAAACAAAACAAUUCAUACUCUAAACAGUUUAGUUGUUAAGUGAAUAUCCCAUAAUAAUAAAAAACAGGAAUGACUUCAUAAAAGUCUUGAAAAUGUUUCAAAAUUCUGUUUAAAAAAACAUGUUUUGGGGUUUAAUUGUGUCCCAUUAAUUUAUAUAACUCUUUAGCGUCAUCGCCGACAAUAAUCCUCUGACAUUUGUGUUAACAGUUGAGUUAUAUUUAUGUUUUCAUUAUUUUCAAGACACGCCUUUUAAAGUGAGUGACAAGUAGACGCUGGACUUCCUGCACACGUCUUUCCUUUGACGUUCUGGAACGACUUUAACAUGUUUUUGGGAAUGUGCUCGGCCCGCGGACUGUAAAAGAUCAUUUACACAAAUGCACUUUGUUAUUUUAAGUGGCCUGCUUCAGAAAGUUCAAUCUUGUAGAAAAACACAGAUGUUAAAAAAUAAUAAAUGCCCUGUCGGCAAAAAAAAAAAAGCA